GGUGAACGCUGGCGGCGUGCUUAAGACAUGCAAGUCGAACGCAGUCUUCGGACUGAGUGGCGCACGGGUGAGUAACACGUAACUGACCUACCCCCAAGUCGCGAAUAACCAGCCGAAAGGAUGGCUAAUACGUGAUGUGAUGAUCCGCUGUGGCGGAUCAUUAAAGACUUGAUCGCUUGGGGAUGGGGUUGCGUUCCAUCAGCUAGUUGGGAAGGUAAAGGCUUACCAAGGCAACGACGGAUAGCCGGCCUGAGAGGGUGGCCGGCCACAGGGGCAUUGAGACACGGGUCCCACUCCUACGGGAGGCAGCAGUUAGGAAUCUUCCACAAUGGGCGCAAGCCUGAUGGAGCGACGCCGCGUGAGGGAUGAAGGUUCUCGGAUCGUAAACCUCUGAACCAACGACGAAAGACCCGACAAGGGAGAUGACGGUAGUUGGGUAAUAGCACCGGCUAACUCCGUGCCAGCCGCCGCGGUAAAAC
rnacentral:rRNA from 1 species